rnacentral:tRNA from 1 species
GGAGGUAUGGCAGAGUGGCUAUGCAUCUGGCUUUUAACCAGCAUUAAGUGGGUUCGAUUCCUACUGCCUCCA